UACGUAGGGUGCAAGCGUUUGUCCGGAAUUAUUGGGCGUAAAGGGCUCGUAGGCGGUCCGUCACGUCGGGAGUGAAAUCCUGGGGCUUAACCCCAGAACUGCUUCCGAUACGGGCAGACUAGAGGUAGGUAGGGGAGAAUGGAAUUCCUGGUGUAGCGGUGGAAUGCGCAGAUAUCAGGAGGAACACCGUGGCGAAGGCGGUCUCUGGGCCUACUGACGCUGAGGAGCGAAAGCGUGGGGAGCGAACAGG
rnacentral:rRNA from 1 species